rfam:Oryza glaberrima chromosome 5 Oglab05_0069_12, whole genome shotgun sequence.
AAUAAGUACAGUUUUGCAAUGUUUAUGUCCAACUUUCGAUUGUUCAUCUUAUUUAAAAAUUUUUUAUGAUUAGUAUUUUUAUUGUUAUUAGAUAAUAAAACAUGAAUAUUAUUUUAUGUGUGAUUAAUUUUUUUCAUAAUAUUUUCAAAAUAAGACGGACAAUCUAACGUUGGAUACGGAUACCCAUAGCUGCACUUAUU